CUAGGUGACGAACUGAAGUAAGUGACGACCCAGAGUCCCAGAGGGCGACGACGUCAAUGACGACGCCAGCCGUCGGGUUCUCGACAACGGCAAGAAGAGCGAGUGAGCAAGAUAAGCUUGAUGGUGAGCGGGUUACUUGGGUGAGCGACGGGGAUGGGAAGCUUCUGUAGUUCCGCGCGUUCUUCAUGAGCCGGGUCGGGUAAGGGACGGGGAUGGGAAGCUCCUGUAGUUCGGCGCUUUUUUCACGAGCCGGGUCCGGUAAGCGACGGGGAUGGCAAGCUCUUGUAGUUCCGCGCGUUCUUCACGAGCCGGGUCGGGUCAGCGACGGGGAUGGGAAACUCCUGUAGUUCCGCGCGUUCUUCCCUAUCCGGGUCGGGUAAGGGUCGUGGAUGGGAAGCUCCUGUAGUUCGGCCCGUUCUUCAAGAUCCGGGUCGGGUCAGCGAUGGGGAUGGGAAGCUCCUGUAGUUCUGCGCGUUCUCAUGAGCCGGGUCGGGUCAGCGACGGGGAUGGGAAGCUCCUGUAGUUCGGCUCCG
rnacentral:lncRNA from 1 species